AGUCCCGUGUUCUAGUGGUAUGAUUUCUCCUUCACACGGAGAAGGUCCCGGGUUCGAUCCCCGGCGGGACUA
rfam:Schizosaccharomyces pombe chromosome I, complete replicon